CCUACGGGUGGCAGCAGUGGGGAAUAUUGCGCAAUGGGCGAAAGCCUGACGCAGCGACGCCGCGUGAGGGAUGAAGGUCUUCGGAUCGUAAACCUCUGUCAGCAGGGAAGAACGGUCACUGUGCUAAUCAGCAGUGAAUUGACGGUACCUGCAAAGGAAGCACCGGCUAACUCCGUGCCAGCAGCCGCGGUAAUACGGAGGGUGCGAGCGUUAAUCGGAAUUACUGGGCGUAAAGCGCUCGUAGGCGGUAUGUCAAGUCAAGGGGGAAAUCCCCGCGCUCAACGUGGGAACUGCCAUUGAAACUGGCAAACUGGAGUGUGUGAGAGGAUAGUGGAAUUCCAGGGGUAGGAGUGAAAUCCGUAGAUAUCUGGAGGAACAUCAGUGGCGAAGGCGACUAUCUGGCACAUAACUGACGCUGAGGAGCGAAAGCGUGGGUAGCAAACAGGAUUAGAUACCCCAGUAGUC
rnacentral:rRNA from 1 species